rnacentral:rRNA from 1 species
AACGAACGCUGGCGGCGUGCGUAACACAUGCAAGUCGAGCGAGAAAGCCCGCAAGGGUGAGUAAAGCGGCGAACGGGUGCGUAACACGUGGGUAAUCUGCCCUGGAGACCGGAAUAACCUUCCGAAAGGAGGGCUAAUGCUGGAUAAGACCACGGGGACUUCGGUCCCUGAGGUAAAAAGGUGGCCUCUGUAUACAAGCUAUCACUCCUGGAUGAGCCCGCGGCCCAUCAGCUAGUUGGUGAGGUAAUGGCUCACCAAGGCGAUGACGGGUAGCUGGUCUGAGAGGACGAUCAGCCACACUGGAACUGAGACACGGUCCAGACUCCUACGGGAGGCAGCAGUGGGGAAUCUUGCGCAAUGGGCGAAAGCCUGACGCAGCAACGCCGCGUGAGUGAUGAAGGUCUUCGGAUCGUAAAGCUCUUUCGGCCGGGACGAAAACGACGUGGCUAACAUCCACGUCCUUGACGGUACCGGGAGAAGAAGCACCGGCUAACUCUGUG